UUCUUACGCUCGAGGCGGUUCCCUUCUUUCUAUCUAGCCACCUUUUCGUGUCCUUUAGCGCCUCCGACCACCGGCCGGGCCCGGGCCGUCCGUCGGUGGUGUAAUUUAUUCGGAAAAAGCUGGCCACCGACUACCGGCCUGGGUGGGGGCCCGGGACGUUUUGUCAUCGGCCGACCGAGUGCCGCGGCGGGCAGUUUUACCUACGGUUCUAGCCUCUGCCCGGCCUCGGCCGAAGGGUGGAACCAGCCCGACCCGCCGUCUUUCCAGUCGGUAUCGAUUCCCCGUACAAAUACGCAGUAAAUGGAAAUGGAAAAGCUAAAAACCCGCUAAAUAGUUUUGGGUGGGGGCUAAAAGCCUCGGAUGGAGGCCGAUUAAUCCAGGUCGGGUACGGUCGACCGAAAACCGGCACAAAGGCGUUUUGGGCGGACGGACCGGGCCACUUUCCAUUCUGGAAGAGUAACGGGCGGAGGGGCCGAACCAGCCCUUGUAUCGGCCGCGGUUUAAAAGUAUUUCUUUUGGGUCGGUUCCGAGUUAAAAGAAGGGGAAUCCGGCCUAGGCUCGGCCUGUUUACCACCGCCGCCGCCACUCUUCUACCUAGGUUUUGGGUGGCCGGCCGAAUCUAGCCCGGUAAAUAAAAAAUGCCACUUAUUUAUCGGUUCACGGUCGAACAGCGCUUCUUAUCGGCUAAAGAGUCCCCGAAAAACAAUCUACCGCUAAAAAUACGGUAGAGGGCGCCAAUUUUAACCUACCGCGGCCGGAAGAGCCGGAGUCGACCCCGAGUCGCUUUACGGUGGUCGAAGACGGCGCCGCGACCUAAUUGGGUGGGACGUCUGGCUAAUCUACACUCUUCCGCUACCCGUCCCGGCCGACCCUAACCCGCUGGCCCCGUUUAACGCAAAAUCGCGCCGUUAAAUCCCCGGUUACCCGUUUGUCCCGAGCUGUUCGCUUUAAAUUCUGCCGAACGCGGCUUUCCCCCAGGGGAGAAACUUUAAUGGCGCGUCAUACCGGGCGGGUUUUAAUCUUUAGUCCGUCGUGAGUGAGCCGUAGCCAAAUUUAACCAUGUUAGAUGUUUAAAAAGUGAAACGUUCCGGGAAAAAGCGCGGCACCAAACUGGAUACAAAGCGUAUUAUAUCUUUUGUCAAGGCGGACGGUUGGACCACCACCGCGCCACCAAUUGUUUUUUUCGGUCCUAUAAAAAGCCAGGUCCACGCGAUUCUGAUCGUUUUUUGCUUUAUUAAAAAUAUCGUGGUCUCUAGACUUUUUACCGGAAAAGGGUGGUGCGGCGGAAACAACAAUUUUCCCACCACCCUUAUUAUUUGCAGAGAUUCCGUUAGCCGCCGGUCCAUCGGUUGGUCGGCUAAAUCUGGUCGGAAGGCCGCCGGUCCAACCUACGCUUCUCUUCCGUUUUCCACUCGGCCUUUCCGGUGGUCCCAAUGGGGACGCGGGAGGCCCGCCUCCAUCGGCCCACCCGUCCGUUAUUCCGGGUAAGAAUUACCGGUCCCGAUCCUAUCCGUACCCCACCCGGCCUCCGUCCGAUUCCGUACCUACCUAGGUGGGGCCCCGGGCCCUACCCGCUCUUCCUUUUAAACACCGCUAGAAGGACCUCUACUCCGGUGGUUCCGGAGUUCGGUGUCGAGUAAACUGUCCCUUAUAAUAAACUCCGAUGGAUUUAUUUCUGGUAAGUAAUGUUUUUUAUCGGCUCUUCGGGGAAAAACUUUUCUACGGCCCACCUCUUUUCCUUCACCUAUUUCCCGCCGUCUAAUAUCUUAAAUAUUUUCCUUAUUCGUGUUUGAAAUGGGCAGUUAGGCUAUCCGGGCUCUUCCCAACUAACUCCGAGACAGCGAAAAAGCUGCGGAACCGCUGGUCUACCCGAUUAAUCCGGGGCCUUUCACUCGGUCAGAAUUUUACAAUUUUAACUAUGGGCGCUUUUCAUUUCAGAAAAACCUACUCGAUUAAAAAAACCGGCGCUUCUUCCACCCGCCCACCAGGCUGGAAAAUCUGCUCCCGCCUAACAAAUGGCCUAGCUGGGUCACCCGGGUCCUCGGCCUAUCAUCUAUCCCGUAUUAUUUUUAAUAAAAAUGUAAGAAGGUAUAAUAAUAAUAUUUUAUAUCUUGUUGGGUUUGUACCUGCCAGCCGGCGCGGAAAAAUUUGAAACUUAUAAUUAAACCGUACCGGUGACGGACGGGGAGCGAUGAACGUGGUAGCGCCCAUCUUUCGUCUUAAAAGAUUAAGGCUUCGUAUAAAGAAAAAUGGCGGCGGUUGGACCCGUGGGCGGAAGUUCCGCCCUAUUUAGACCCGCUCCGGAUACCGGAACUCUUCUCCCGCUGGACCGCGGUCCCCCUAGUUCUUCCCGCACCACCCCCGCCCGGUAUACCUAGGCCUAAAAAUGGAAUUUGGUUUCGGAUAUUUAAAUGAAUUAUUAUUAUUUACCUCGGUUAUAAUAUUCGAAUCUGAUUCGAUGAAAG
rnacentral:lncRNA from 1 species